AUUGAACGCUGGCGGCAUGCCUUACACAUGCAAGUCGAACGGUAACGCGGGGCAACCUGGCGACGAGUGGCGAACGGGUGAGUAAUACAUCGGAACGUGCCCAGUAGUGGGGAUAGCCCGGCGAAAGCCGGAUUAAUACCGCAUACGACCUACGGGUGAAAGCGGGGGAGUCGCAAGACCUCGCGCUAUUGGAGCGGCCGAUGUCAGAUUAGCUAGUUGGUGGGGUAAAAGCCUACCAAGGCGACGAUCUGUAGCUGGUCUGAGAGGACGACCAGCCACACUGGGACUGAGACACGGCCCAGACUCCUACGGGAGGCAGCAGUGGGGAAUUUUGGACAAUGGGGGGCAACCCUGAUCCAGCCAUGCCGCGUGCGGGAAGAAGGCCUUC
rnacentral:rRNA from 1 species